rnacentral:rRNA from 1 species
UACGUAGGUGACAAGCGUUGUCCGGAUUUACUGGGCGUAAAGAGCGCGCAGGCGGUCGAUCAAGUCGAGUGUGAAAGCCCCCGGCUCAACUGGGGAGGGUCAUUCGAUACUGAUCGACUCGAAGGCAGGAGAGGUAGUGGAAUUCCCGGUGUAGCGGUGAAAUGCGUAGAUAUCGGAAGGAACACCAGUGGCGAAAGCGGCUUCCUGGUCCAGCACCGACGUUCAGGCACGAAAGCGUGGGGAGCAAACAG